UACACCUGCAUACCAUCCUAUACAAUUACAACUUAUCCAUGCAUGGCUAACUCAGUAAAUCCAUUGGCUAUUAUUACAGUGAACACUUCUCCCUUCGAUUUAAAUACCCAGUCACUAAGAAUUAGAACUCAUUGCUGAAGGCAUUUACAGUAGAUAUCAUUGCUGAAGAAAUCAGAAGGGGACAGUGAACUUGGUUUAGCCAUGGAUAACAUCGAAGAAAAAUUUGCUAAAAUUCAUCAUUAUUGUCACAUCACCAGAAAGAUGAAAAAGAACCAGUCAGUAUAAAAAGUGCAGAAUUUUGCAAGUACAAUCUGAAUCGAGGACAAAAUGGAAUACCUUCCCAUCUUCCCAGUUUAACUGGUAGGGGUGCAAAACACAGUUUUAUAUGUAACGUUAUAAGGACGUUUUCAGAUGAGGGGCAAGCAAAACUGCCCCCUAUAAAAAUAAAUUGUUAAAACAUGUUUACAUAUAUAUCUAUAUAUCAAUAGAAAGAUAAAAUCGUGAAUUUUUUUAAUAUUAAAAAAUAAUGCACAUGUAACUUAAUGCUAGAAUUUAUUUGGCACUCAAAACAUGCGGAAAAUAGACAAAAGGAUGCCUCUAAAUGCAGUACACCCAUGCAUUUUAGGCUCCCCCUAAAACAUAAUGCAACUAAAUCAGCCAUUUUUAUUUAUGUACAUUUUCAAGAACAAGUCCUUAGGCAUCAUUUCAUAGUAUUUUCAGGGAACAUUCGCCAGCUUUUUAAAGAGCUAUGUUACCCGCUAAAAAAUUCAUGAAAUUAUGUAUGUGUAAAAUCCGGAUGUUUUUGGAGUUACCGCCCUUUAUUUUAGAGUCUCACAAAAUUAAUUUUUAGAAUUUGUCUACAUACUUUUAUCAUGUAUUCGAAAGAUAAUUCACUAUAUUAUACAACUGAGAGUAUAAAAAUUUGAUUUUCAUGUAUACCGCAUAAAAAUAGCAGGAAAAUUCCUACCCAUCAUGCUUUUCCCCAGAGAAAACCCCCCAGGAUUUUAUACGAAACUGUGUUUAGCUACCUAGAUUGGUGAUAUGAAGUACGAAAUUAUACAAGAAUUUUUUUGGAAUUUCAGGGGUAAAACAUCUUAAUAUUUUAACUAUUUAAAAUUUGUUUUAAAAAUUUUAUAUCUAAAUCCUUCUGAUGAAUUAUUCAUAUCAGCAUGCCACUUCUGAAUAAAUUGAUCUUGUAAUCUCUGUUGAAACCCAUUUUUGGUUAACAAUAUUUAAAGACUGACUAUGCCAAAAAUAAAAUGUGCUUUAAAAACUAGGUCAACACGUUCAAUACUAUUCAAUACAAAUACAUGUACAACCAUUACUCUUUUGGAAAAAAUCAAUAUACAGUAUACUUUUGUUUUAUCUAUAUAAACAUUUAAUUUCCACUCUUUACAAUAACUUUCAAACUCAUUCAGUGCGUUCUGCAAAUCAUCGCAAGAUAACAGUAUCCGUCUGCAUAAGAAGUACAAGCAGUUAUAUAUAUAUAUUUAUAUAAAAGUUUUGUUCUAUUGAUGUUGCAGACCAGCGAUAUUUUUUUCAACAAGAUAAUUUUCUAAAUCAUUUAUGUUCAAUGAAAACAAAAAUGGUGACAAAUGUACUCCUUGAUGGACUCCAACAUUACAAGAAAUAAAGUCGGAUAUCGUGCCAUUUAUCUUCAUGAGUGAUUCAAUACCUUUUAACAUAUUUGUAAUAUAUUUAAAACAUUUACCAUUGAUACCAUAAUUUAAGAACCAUUUCUUCAAACUGUGUGAACUGCCUGUUUGAAAUCUAUAAAACAGAGAACAAUUUUUUCUUACACUUAAUCAACGUAUUGAAUAAAAAUGUGGUCUAAAUUAGAAACCCGCUUGGUUAUUAUAGAUCAGUUCUAUCUCUUCUGAAUACAAUUCUAAACAUACUCGUACUCGAACAGAAAUUAUAUAUAUUACUAUAUCAUCGGCAUACUUUAAUUAUUAUCAAGAUGAUUGGUGGUCACAUUUUGAUUGAUAGAAGCCCUCAGAUUCUAGAUAUAAAUAUUUCGAAAGUUCCUCUUCUUAACACGUGUGUCUUAAUAGGGAAUAUAACCACCCUUAAAUGAGCCCAAAUCCCAUUAUCAACUAACUCUUUUAGGAGUAAUCUCUUUUUAACCUAUUUGAACAUCGUUUAUUUAGUAUUUAAGAUUUACCAUAGUCAGUUUCUUUUCACACACUUUCAAAAAUGAUCUUUUCCGGCAUAUCUAUAGAUUAUUGUUAUUUGCAAUAGUUCCUUGGAGUGUCAGAUGUAAAAUAAUAAGCAAGAUGGUUUACAAUCCAUUUUAAUGUAACACAAGACUCAUGCCAUGGUCUGGUUUACACAGAUUCAAAUAAAUAAAAAUGAAGUGCAUUAUGGUACAAAAUGUAAAAUAAAAAUCAUAGAAAGCAGAGCCAGGUGGUUUGGGAUACCUGUCGAUAUUAUCGUGGAUAAUAAUUAAAUUACUUUCUCUGGUUAAUAAUUUUCAAUAAUAAUGGCCAUAAAAAGGUGUUAUAUGUUAUUUGGAAAGGUAAAAAUUAAAAAAUCUCCAGUGGGUUUCAAACUUUUGACUGAAAAUUCGAAAUUAACGCUUCAGCCCAUUGUUUUCAUUGUUUUCAUUGAGGUCAGGCCAGGCCAUGUCAGGUUUUAGAGUAUAGCUCCAUAAGACUUUGACAUUUUACCACAGACACCUCUAGAUUCGUAUUUAAAUAAGAAGAAGAGAGGAACUAAUAAUCUGGGCGAUUCCGCAAAAAAGCUGCUGAAAGUUCAUCAGCAAACGUUUCUGUUAAUGUACAUGUUGCUUAGCAGAACUAAGCUUUACAUUUCAUCACGAGUUUCAGGUGUGUAAUCGGGUGUAACGGAAUCUAAGGAAUCUAAGAUUCUAGUACCUGUGUGACGGUGCCUAAUUACGAGCGGUGUUCAUCUCUAUAGUCAGUCGUUCGUCGUUUUUGUUUUUGAACUAACUUUCAGGUAACUUCAAAUUGAAUAAUUUAGAAUCGAUACUAUUUCUGGUUGGUAAAAAUUUAAAUAAUGACAGUUUCAUCAAACUUAGUGUGUGAAAAAACAAAAAUCAUAAUAUUUCAUAUUGUAAAUUUUGUAUUUACAGAAAACCAUCCAAAAACUUUCAAUAAACAUUAUCAAUAUUUCACUUUACUCUGUUAGUGUAGACCCAAAAUUGAACAAUCUGACGUAUUGAAAAUUUGAAGUUAUUAGUUUUAUUUGUAAAGGUAGGGUUCGCAAAGCCCGCACGACUUCUACAUAAUAUCCCCUGGCCAGACCCGUACAAUCCAUUGCAUUCUCAGCUCCCUGGGGAGCAUCAAGCAGAGUUGCCAAAUUACGGUGCUAAUGCUUUACAUUCAACUUAACCAGCUCGUCUCAUUUGCCAGGUACCAUGGGUGGAGAGUGUAAUGUUAUAUACCGCGAUAGCGACGGACCAGACUCAAACCCGGGGCUACGGCGUUUAAAUCGGUCGACGCUUUCAAAUGCGCCAACACCUAUCCAGAAAAUAUUUUUAACAAACUGUUCCACUGAAUUGAAAAGUUUAUCAUGUAACCACAUAUACUUAUAUUCUCAUUUACUAGAGUAAUACUAGAAUUAAUAUUUGGUGCAGAAUUUUCAGACUAGAGGUGACCCAAAUUGGCUACCCAAAACGUUAUCGCACUUUAAACAGUUAAAAAAUUGUUUAAAGUGUGUAAUUUUUUCAAAGUGCGUUGCCACACACGCCCUGCGAAUGUUUUUGUCAUUUAAAUUUUAAACAACGUGGUCCUUUCAGUUUCUCAGUAAAAAUCAUGCCUAGUGUUUAUAUUUCAUGGAAUAUAGGUACUUGUAAUCAAAAAUAAAAUCUAAACGUUCACUGAUUUUAAACUUUAUCUUCAUUAA